rnacentral:lncRNA from 1 species
CUUACUUAUCUGUCCAGGCAGUGCCACUCAUUGUGCAGAUGAGGAAAGUGAGGCACCAAGGCCCUGACCUUUGCACUCUGCCCCGUUGUGUCCCAAAGCCAAACCCUGGACCCUAGCCCUAGUUCCCCAGGACCAGCCUCAAGGCAGGGCGCCUGGCUGUGGAAGACUGUCCUCAAGGGCUGUGUCCCCCCCACUGUGCUUGUCCACUCACGGGGAUAAAGCCGCCCUGGGCGUCCUUGCACCCACACUGACUUCUGGGCACACACUUGUCCUCGUUCAGCACGUAGCCGAGCUGACAGACGCAGCCCUCGGUGCAGGUGGAGGGGACCUUGACGCCCUCGCAGUGGCCAUCCAGGUCCCAGCAGGACGGCGGGCAGGAGGGAGUGCAGGAGGUGUAGCUGCUGUGUGCCGGGCACUCCAGAGGGCAGAGCGGGGCCAGACCACA